rnacentral:lncRNA from 1 species
CUCUAGCCCCCACCCACCAAGUUAUCCAUGAAAACCCUAACCUGAGCUUUAUGGGAGACAGACUGGAGAAUUAACUUCCAUCCUGCCACUUGGCCAGCCCUGUAAUUAUUAAACUUUCUUUGCUUCAAAACCCUGCCAUUCUUGAUAUACUGGCUUACUUACUCAGUGAGCCAGAGUAAGACUGGGGCUGCCUCCCUCCUAAGAAGAGCUUCUGCUGAUGAAAGGUGCACUGUAUUUGAGGCUCCCUAGAAACUUCCCCAAAGCAAGUGUCAUUACUAAGAGACUGCAAGAAAAUAUCUUACUGCUGGAGUUCUUUGUUGCUGUAAUAAUGAGACUAGAUCUGGAGCAAAAGAUGCAACUUCACUUUUUCAAAAUCACACAUAUUCAAGGCACCUAUGGGACUUCUCCCUCCAAUUUCUCGCUCACUGGCUUCAAAGACGACUCUCAAUGUCAUCGAGAUUAAACCAGCUCUUAGGGAAGCAAUGUAAUGCCAUAAUUAAGACCACACCAUCAGAGUCCAAGACUGGCAUCCAAAUCCCAGUUCUGCCACUUACAAGCCAUGUGACUUUGGUCAAGGUAUUUACCUUCUCAUCUGUAAAAUGGGAAUCACAGUAGUACAUAACUCAUA